CCUACGGGAGGCAGCAGUGGGGAAUAUUGCACAAUGGGGGAAACCCUGAUGCAGCGACGCCGCGUGAAGGAAGAAGUAUUUCGGUAUGUAAACUUCUAUCAGCAGGGAAGAAAAUGACGGUACCUGACUAAGAAGACCCGGCUAACUACGUGCCAGCAGCCGCGGUCAUACGAAGGGGGCAAGCGUUAGCCGGAUUUACUGGGUGGAAAGGGAGCGUAGGCGGUUUAGCAAGUCAGAAGUGAAAGCCCGGGGCUCAACUCCGGGACUGCUUUUGAAACUGGUGAACUAGAUUGCAGGAGAGGUAAGUGGAAUUCCAAGUGUAGCGGCGAAAUGCGUAGAUAUUAGGAAGAACACCAGAGGCGAAGGCGGCUUACUGGGUUGUAAAUGACGCUGAGGGUCGAAAGCGUGGGGAGCAAACAGGAUUAGAUACCCGUGUAGUC
rnacentral:rRNA from 1 species